rnacentral:rRNA from 1 species
AUGAGGGUCUUCCGUGAGCUGCCGGUUGCAGAGAACCACCAUUCCCGUACCAAUGGAGAGCGUCAAACACCUUCGCAAGAGAAUGGGACACUUCCGCAAGAGAAUGGAAAUGGAACGCAUUUUCUCGGUGUUAUCAAAUCUCCACAUGUUGGUCCUUUGACAUUUUUCGGUUGGCAAAUUGGAAAGCCCAGGACAAAGCAGCGCACUUACAGUCACAAGGAGCUUCAAAGAUCAGCAGUUGUGCUUGGAUAUGCAGCAGGCUGGCUGGCGGCUGGGUCACACGGCAACGGCGGUGCGCGUGUGGCGUCCUCCCUGGUGGGGCGAGCAGGAAGGAGGAGGUGCACGGGAGGCGUAGGCGCUGUGGCGAGAUGA